UGCUCUGACAACUUUAGGAAUCAGCCGGUUC
rnacentral:piRNA from 1 species